GGCCUUAUAGUCAAUAAUGACAUUAGACUGCAAUUCUAAAGGAGUAAGUAUAUACUAAGGCUU
rnacentral:tRNA from 1 species